UUCAAAUAUAGUAUAGCAUUAGAUUUCGAAUCAGUCAUUCUGAUUUAAAAAUUAUUAUUUUUCAUGUUCACGUCUAUCUUUUUUAAAUAUUCUUAUGAUAUUUAAGUGAAGUGGAAUGUUAAAGCGAACCUAAUUAAGGCGAAGCGUUACACAAUGUAGUCACAGAUCAAGAUAAAAAUCAGACCAUUCAAAUAUUCGUACUAAAAAGGCGAUCACAGCAGUGAAAGAAAAAAACCGAAGCACUGUUGUCCGAAAGCAAAAGAGAAGGAAAGAGAAAGGAAAGAAUACGGUCUGCUGCAUCAACCGAAUAGAUACGAGUAUAGCUUAAUUAUUUCGGAUGCCGAAAAGUGGACAAUGCACUCUCAUAGUGAGGACGCAAAAAGUAUUGGUUUAAUAAGAACAAACCGAUUACACUGAAACAUUGAAGACAAUUCGACGGACCAAUAAACCUAAAUUGUAGUACAUUGCUUCACUUAAAUUAAAUGUCAAUUAUAAUA